UUCUAUAAGAGAAAAAAAGUCUAGGUUACCUUGGCCUUUUAGAUAUGACACCAAAAGCAUGAUCUAUGAAAGCAAAAACUAAUUAGUUGGACUUUAUUAAUAUUUAAAAGUUCUGGGGACGCCUUGGUAGCUCAGUGAGCGCCCCAUCCAACUCUUAAUUUUGACUCAGGUCAUGAUCUCACGGGUUCGUGGGUUCGAGCCCCACAGUGGACUCUGCUCUGGGCCUGCUUGGGAUUCUCUGUCUCCCCCUCCCUCUGCCCCUCCCCUGCUCAUGUGCUCUCUAUCUCAAAAUAAAAUAAAUAAAUAAAAUUUUUAAAAAAGUUAAAACUUCUGUCCUGCAAAAGACACUAUUACAAGAAUGAAAAGACAAGCCAGAGACCGGGAGAGAAAUCUUCGCAGAACACACACCUGGUAAAAGGGACUUGCAUUAAAAAUACAUAAAGAAUUCUUCAAAGGAAUUCAACCAUAAGAAAACAGCUCAAUUUAAGAAGAAAGAGACAGAGGAUUGGAAUAGACUCCUCACUAAAAAAGACAAUACGGAUGGCAAAUAAUCAUAUUUAAAAAUGCUGGAUCUUAUAGGUUAAGGAAUUGCAAAUUAAAACAGCAAUGAGACACCACUCUACACCUAUUGGAAUUAUUAAAAUCCAAAAAAACCUGAUAAUACCAAAUGCUGGUGAAGAUGUGAAGUAACAGGGGUCCUCACUGAUUGCUGUGGGAACGCAAAUGGCACAGUCACUUGGGAAGUCAGCGCUUAGCAAAGCUAAACAUAGUUUAGCAGAAUCCAGCAGUUGUGUUCCUAGGUAUUUACCCAAAUGAGAUGAAAACUGUCCACACAAAAGCCUGCACUUGCAUAUUUAUAGCAGCUUUAGUCAUAAUUAGUCAACACCAGAAACAAUCAAGAUGUCCCUUAAUAUAUGCAUGAAUAGGGGUGCCUGGGUGGCUCAGUUGGUUAAGCAUCCGACUUUGGCUCAGGUCAUGAUCUCGCGGUUUGUGAGUUUAAGGCCUGCCUCGGGCUCUGUGCUGACACCUCAGAACCUGGAACCUGCUUCGGAUUCUGUGUCUCCCUCUCUCUCUGCCCCUCCCCUGCUCAUGCUCAGUCUCUCUCUGUCUCUCAAAAAUAAAUAAAUGUUAAAAAUUUUUUUAAAUAUGCAUGGAUAAAUAAACCGUGCUACAUUCAUACAAUGGAACACUACUCAGUGAUAAAAAGAAAUGAACUAUCAAGUCAUGAAGAGAUGUGGAGAAAUCUUAAAUGCAUACUGCUAAGUGAAAGAACCAAGUCUGAAAAGGCUCCCUACUGUUUGAUUCCAACUAUAGGACAUUCUGGAAAAGGCAACAUCAUCGAGAUAAGAGAAAGGUCAGCAUUUGUCAGGGUUUCUGUGCUGAGAUGGAGGGUAAUGAAUAGAAGAAGCAUAAGGAUUUUUCAGGUGGUGAACAAGUUUGUAUGAUCCUUUAAUGUUGGAUACACGACAUCCCAAGUUAUUUCUCCCUAUACUUCUAAGUUUUCUCCUUUUUGGACCAAAAGAAAAGGAUGUCUCAGAGACAGGGGAGGCAGGAAAAGGGCAAAAGAAAAGGGUAAUACAACAUACAGUGCAACAUGUGAUUCCUUUGUACCAUUCUUCACAAAAUUACUUUUCCUCCCUGUUACAAUACCCUGAGUUACUUGCCGUCAUCCACUUAGAAAAUUCAAUUAUAAAAUAUCUGUUUAAUAUCUGAAAUGUCUGAAGUUCAAUAUGAACCCCAGGGGAACUUUUCAUGAAGCCCAUGUAAAUACAUCCUUGUUUGGACUGCUUCUGGUGUGUUGAAUCACAAAUAGAGCUGUUUUGUUUUGCUGUAAUCCAUAGCACAAAAUGCAAUUGAUCUUAGUGUAGAGGACAGAUACUGUGAUAUGGCUUAUGUCAAGAUGACUUGAAACUUUUCAUCCUUUUUUCACUUAUGUUAUUUCUUUAUAACAUAUAAGAAAAGACAUUUAAAACUGUUUGUUUAUUUUGAGAGAGAGAGAGAGAGAGCACAAGUAGGGGAGGAGCAGGGAGAGAAGGAGAGAGAGAAUCCCAAGCAGACUUCACAGUCAGCACAGAGCCCAACACAGGGCUCCAUGCCACACACUGUGAGAUCAUGACCUAAGCCAAAAUCAAGGGGCGCUUAACCGACUAAGCCACCCAGGUGCCCCAAGAAAAGCCAUUUUUGUUCAUAUCAGAAAAGACUUGGGGGAUGUCUGGGUGGCUCAGUCGGUUAAGCAUCUGACUUCGGCUCAGGUCAUGAUCUUGCAGUUCGUGGGUUCGAGCCCCUCAUCGGACUCUGUGCUGACAGCUCAGAGCCUGGAGCCUGCUUCAGAUUCUCUCUCUCUCUCUCUCUCUCUCUCUCUCUCUCUC